GAUCCUGGCUCAGGAUGAACGCUGGCGGCGUGCCUAACACAUGCAAGUCGAGCGAAGCAUUUUAAAGGAAGUUUUCGGAUGGAAUUUGAAAUGACUGAGCGGCGGACGGGUGAAGGUAACGCGUGGGUAACCUGCCUCAUACAGGGGGAUAACAGUUAGAAAUGACUGCUAAUACCGCAUAAGCACACAGUACCGCAUGGUACAGUGUGAAAAACUCCGGUGGUAUGAGAUGGACCCGCGU
rnacentral:rRNA from 1 species